rnacentral:rRNA from 1 species
CCUACGGGCGGCAGCAGUGAGGAAUAUUGGUCAAUGGACGAGAGUCUGAACCAGCCAAGUAGCGUGAAGGAUGACUGCCCUAUGGGUUGUAAACUUCUUUUAUAUGGGAAUAAAACGUUCCACGUGUGGGAUUUUGUAUGUACCAUAUGAAUAAGGAUCGGCAAACUCCGUGCCAGCAGCCGCGGUAAUACGGAGGAUCCGAGCGUUAUCCGGAUUUAUUGGGGUUAAAGGGAGCGUAGGUGGGUUGUUUAGGCAGUUGUGAAAGUUUGCGGCUCAACCGUAAAAUUGCAGUUGAAACUGGCAGUCUUGAGUACAGUAGAGGUGGGCGGAAUUCGUGGUGUAGCGGUGAAAUGCUUAGAUAUCACGAAGAACUCCGAUUGCGAAGGCAGUUCACUGGACUGCAACUGACACUGAGGCUCGAAAGUGUGGGUAUCAAACAGGAUUAGAUACCCCUGUAGUC